GGCUGCUGAAGCAGAGAGCUGCUCCAUCCCCUGUCCCUCCUUGCACUUUUCCUCCAAGAACACAGAGUGAGGAGCUUGUUGGAGCUCUUUGUUCUGCUGUGCAGCUCUGGCAGGGGACUGGGUGCAAAUAACUCAUCAAAGAGGUGUAAAAUAGAGUUCCUGGCCCUGCUUUCUGCUCUCCAAGGCCCAGCAGGGUCUGUGACAUCCCCAGGCUGUCCCUUGCCUGUGGCUUCCCUUGCAGAGCCAGUACUUAGCAAAACUCCUGUAACAGCCUUUAUGCUCUUAACCCAAUUUCCUUCCAAACUGCCAUAUGCUGUGAGCUUUGGGAGGGAUUGAGAACACGAGAAGGCUGCUCUUUUAAAUCCCACAGAAAGGAGGAAAAGUGGCAUUCUGAGUGCCUGCAGGCAAGGAAUAGAGAAAUCUCCUAUGGGUUUUGGGGCAGGAAAACCCAUGUGCCCUCACCAAACUGAAGCCUGCCUCCCCCAGCAAGCAGUUUUCCCAAUCACAGAAAAUGUGAGGGAAGCCUCACUUGCUGUUUUGCUGUCACGUUGGGUGAUGCUCUGAGAUGCUGCUGGAACCUGUGAAGAAAUGAGACCACGCAGAGGGUGAUGAGCUCCAGAGAAGAAGCAGAUGCUGCAGAGAUGGAGCUGAGCCUCCUGCUGAGUAACCACUUCCCUCCCUGCCAGUGGGAGACCUAUCCCAGCUGCUGGGGAGGCUUUUGGAGGGUGCUGAGCCAGCCAGGUGCUGUCUUCUGAAUCACUGCAGUGGCCUGUGAUUGGAGUUAGUGUUUAAUUGGGGAGUUAAAGCCCUUAGAUUGGGCAAGAAAAGAAAAAAAAAACCUUCAGAUGCUGGGUCAGAGACACCCUUCUGGCAAGCUGGUGAUCCUAGGAUUAGCCUUGGAGGGUCAACAUGUGCCAGUAUCAACCUCUUCAGGACUUGCAGAGCGGUGCUGAAGCCCUCCUUUUCCAGAUGGUUUGGUGGCAGUGUGUGUGCUGUCCCCCAGCCUGGAUGAGCACGUGAGGCUCUGGUGGCUGCCACAUGGAGCUCAGCCCUGCCUGGGCCAGCAAAGGGAGCAGUGCCCUGUGGCCAGAACGCCUCCAUAUGGAUCAGAAGGAAGAGUCUGUCUGCACAGCUCUGGGUGGACUUUGUGCAGUGAAGCUGAAACACCAGCAGAUUACACAUUCUGACUGCGGAACAAAGGGCUGGCAGGAGCUGCUCUCUUGUGCUUAAUAAUUUGAGUGAAUUUACAUUUCAAUGCAGCCCUGUGCCACUUCCCACCCCCCGUGGAAAGAGCAGAAUUUCCCUGUUGCGGGGAGGGGGAACAGAAACUCCCACCGCAGUGGCCAGGCUGGGAGAUUUAUUGCGGCUCCUCUCUGAAUUUAUUCCUCCCGAAUCCCGCACACACGUGUGCCCACCCUCCUGAUGCAGAGAUGUUUUCCUCCCCACUCCAGACCUGCUCUGCCUGCCCCACCUCCCUGCUGAGCUCUGUGAUUCAUCCUCAAGUAAUUAACCAUCAGCAGCACGGAAAGUACCUGCCUGGCAGAAGUGUGAAAUCACAUCUACACCUAACGGGAGCCGGACUGAAGGUUUCCACUCUGAGUGACACCCAGGGAGCUGCAAAGUGAGGAAAAGACAGAGUUGCCAAAACUCCCCGAGCACGGUCUGGUUUCUAUGCAGCGUCCCUUUGGCUGCGCUUUGGGAACUGAAAGUACAAAAACUCCAUUUGCUGAGUCAGAGUUGGCAUGGGGGCGUGGAGGUGGCAGGUUUUCCACUUGCUGGUCUGACCCUUGGAUCCCUGCCUGCAGGGUGGUUUGACCUGCCUGGCUCAUCUCUCGCUCCUCAGCUGAAUUUUCCCUGUUGUGCAUCCCUGAGCUUAUCUCAGAGCAGGUUUGGUGUCCCUGCACACAGGCCCAGGAUCCUGUCUUGGCUGCCACCCACUCCUUACUGAGUCCCACUCCUGCAGUUUAAUCUUAGGACAGCUGCAUAAUUUUCUCUUGCCUGCCUGAUAAUAACUUUGCAGGGACUUUAUGUGCUGAUAACCUCAGCAUGCUACACUCCAUUUGGGUCUUUCACCACCAGCUGCUCUGCAUUAGCCCAUUUUAAUGAAUUUUGAUUAUAGGCACAGCUCCUCACUGCUAUUUUAGAGGACAUCUCUGCUUUUCUUGAUCUUCCUAGGAGCUGGGCUUUGGGGUCAUGGGCACAGGACCUCACUCUUUGGGAUUUGCAUGUUGAGAUGUGGCUCAAUUAAUACUUUUCUUUCACUUGCUCUUCUGCCCAAGUCCCACAUGGUGCAAAAUGAGAUGGACCCUUGCUGCUCUUGGGGCUGAAGAAACAGAACAUGAGCAAAGUGCAGCCUCAGAUGUACCUGAGCACAGCAGCAGCCUCUUCCAAAAGCUCAUUACGCCUGAACUCGUGCCUUUGGGCAGCCAGGGGACAGGCACUUUUGUCCUGAAUUCUUUUCUUGCCAUCUUUUUCCUUUGAGUCUGUGUGAGGACCUCUGUGGGAGCUGUUGAGCUGUGAGCUGCUCAGGGCUCCCAUGGGGGAAGGAAGUCAGCUUCCAGCAGGCUCCAUAUGUGUGACCAGUGGCUUUUAACACAUUCAGUUCAAACCUGAGCUGCAAAAUAACUCGGAAACAGGUUUUAUAGCUGUGUUUCACCACUCCUGUGUACUUGGGAACGUGUCAAGCUCUCUGUGGAUGAGUGUCCCUGUACUGCCCAGAGCUGAAUUCCUGACUCUGCAGAGAGCAAGGCAAUGACCCCAGCUUAGCCACUUGUUGCUGGUGUCCAGGCUCCUCUGAGUGCUGCCAUAGCCAGACCCUUGCACUGGGGCAGAGCUCGGUGUCGCUGCUGCUUCACAAGCAUUGGAAGGACCUCGCCAAGGUCGUGUGAGUGUCUCUCCCUGCCUCAAGGAGGCUGUUUGAAAGCUGCUCUCAGAUCAGUGAGGACCAACUGGGAUGGCUGUGCUCCUCUGCAAUGCAUGUGACAGAUGUGUCAGCUCUGGGCUUACUCUCUCCAAAUGGUUCAUUUCUGUCUCAAAACACAGUGGCCAAAAGCAGAGCACCAGACUUAUGAUGAAAAUCAGCCUUUAAGCAGCCUUUUGAGACCUGCCCUAAUCAGAGUUUUGGGUGGCACCACUCCAAAGUGUGCUGGAACUGGAGGGAAGAGAGCAGAGAUGGGAAAGGACAGGUGCAUCCAAGUGAGGCUGGGUGUCCCGUGUGACUCCUGCUGAGCUGCAUCCUGUUUGGACCAUGGGAUUUGGUGCUCCAUGGACCUGAAAGGAAGGUCAGUGCAUGUCACAUGAAGGUGCUUGGAGUCUUGCCCAGCCUGAGGAGGGGGAGGAAGUGCUGGAUUUUCCAUUUCAAGGUGCUGCUCUCCGAAUUCUGAGUGAUAUGAGCCAUAACACUUGCAAACUUCUCACGGACACCUUGGCAAGACUCAGCCAACUUCUAAAGAGAGAGGAAAGGAUGACAAGAGCUUGAUUGACCUUUGCAGAGCCCGACACAGCAUGGAGAGGCACUUUUCUCCCUGGGAGCAGCACACCUCUGCUGCUGUCGCAUGGUGGAUGUUCCUUGUGGCUCUGGAGCAGGAUGAAAAAGCAGCAAAGCAGGUGUUGGUGAGCAGAGCUAUAGCCAAGAAACCUCUGAAAUCUGUGGGAUGCUUCCUACAACCCUUAGCCUCUGACUGCAGCAGCUGGAAACAAAUUUCCAUGGAAAACCUGUCUUUAAUUCGUCUAGAAGGAGUUUUCUGCUUGACUGCAUGCUGAGGGUUUCCCCAUAUCUUGAAGAGGAUUCUUGGCUCUAGCAGGUCCUGCUAGUGCAACCCAACUCCAUCUCCAAGAGUUCACCUUGGUUCCACCUGGGGAGCCCUAGGGACGCUUUUCACAGCCCAAAAGGAAAGCCAGAACUGGCAUCCCAGCCAACAGUGAUGACUAUGGUUCAGGUUUUCCAUGCUUCAAAUGAUUAUCGUUCACGUUUUCCGUGCUUUGAAGCUCACCAAGGACUGGCUUGGAGUCUCAGCUGAGCACUGGCUCACAUUACUUCAUCUAAGUCCCAUUUUCUAACCAAGUUAAAUAAAAAGUGUCGUCUGAACCUCAUCAAGACACCAGGGCUGCCCUAACUUUUGGAGGAAUCUUUAGUGAAAAUGUUGAAAUCUCAUCUGAACAAGAUGGAGAAGAAAUUCGCCUUGGUGAAAAGUCUCGUUGCUGGGAUUUUUGAGGACAGACACUGUGUUCUGGGUUAAAAUGGUCACCUGUGUCUCAUGCUGCCUGAGGACUGUGGGCUGGGGAAGCCCCAACAUCUCUGAAGAGGUCAUCUCCAUCUCUGGCCCCUCUGACCCCGCUUGCUGCCUCAGGUCACAGUAAUCCCUUAAUUCAGGGAGCCACAAUAUGGAAGUGGAAUGUUUUUACUGAGGUUUUAUUUUUUGCAGUCUGGAGGAUAAUCAGGGGUCCUCGGGUUUCUGUGGGAGUUGAAAGAAAGGACAGAGCAAACUGGCACUGUUCCCAGUCCAAAAUGUUUUCACUAAUUGCAUGCAACCUUCUUACAGGAGAGAGAGGCUGCAAAUACCACCGGCAGUUUAAUUACCACUGUUGGUUCACGUUGAAUUUAUUUAUGCUGCUCCCAGUGCUGUGUGUGAGCAGAAUGUGUGUGUGUGUGUGCAAGGUGGGAUGCACAGGGAAUCAUGGAUGGCUUGAGGCUUGAGGGAGGGAGCUGAGGAGCAUGUGUGUGUUUAUUUGGGGCUGUGGAACCUUUCCAAAGAGCCCUGAGGUACCAGGUGGCCUCACCCCAGCACCUAUGGCUGGUGUGGGUUGGGAAGGGACGGUCUGAAGCUGAACACAGGUGUAGGGGUGAGACCCUUGGACUUCCAGGCCUGUUUCCCAGAACUGCUUGGCUUAGCCAGCAGCCUGACUCAACUCUGAGCCCCGUGGUGGAUGAGCUCCCCUUGCUAUCCUUCCCCUCCUCGAACGCAAUGCGCUUCCUCCCCAUCCCAGAGGGGGGGAGAGAGCGGCACGGGAGGAAUCCGACACGAGCAGGCUGAUGGCUGCCGUCCCAGUGCAGGCUCAGCAAAUGGGGCUUGUGAUGGAUGAAUGUGCAGGGCAAGAAGUAAUAAAAUGGGCCCCAGUCAUGUAAUCUUCCAUUAAAAUGAAAUGCAUACCAGAAAUGAGGCAUUUCUGCAGCUUGUACCAUCUCCCACGGAAGAUCAUGAAUAAAAGAGGCAAGUGUACUGUUGACAGAUGCCGGCAUGCAUAAAGGACAGUUCCUAUAAAGGCAAAGCCCCGGCUAACAGAUGGACUAAAGAUGUGAGAUGCAGGAAGAUUUACCAGUCUAAAUAAUUCAAGGGAAUGUCGUAUGGGGAGGCAGUGCUGGAGAGGGGAGCCGGCAGAAGGUACAGAUGGAAAGGCAGGCCAGGCCUUUCCCACAAACCCAUUAAGAACGUCGCUUGUCUGAGUGACAGUAUGUCGCACAAGGCACCAGCAGAGAUGGGUGGAUUUGCCUCCAGCACUCCUUCUGCAAGGUCAGGAAAAGAGGGCAUUGCAGCAGCCAUCUCAGAUGAAAACAUUUCCCAAAACCAAGAGAAACAAAAAGCUUCCUCAAAGUGGAUGGAGAUGCUGCACAGAGUGCCCUGCCUGAGCAUCUCUGCCCUGCCUGGAUUAUUUAACUGGGUUCUGCAAACACGAUUUCAAACAGCAAACAGCUAAGCAAGGGGAGCAAGACAUAACCUUUGUUUCUGCAGGAUCUACCAGAAACUGACAAUGUGGGUACGUGGGCAAUGGGAAAAACAGUUUAUGUUUUAAGCUUCAUGUGACCUCUGGAGCUUCUGGGCUUUGGAAGUGAGAGUGAGACAAUCCUCACAAGCACUUGAUCCCUCUCGAAAUGAAGGGGCUUUCCUGGGUACACAGCUUUCCCCCUUCCCUCCCAGAAGUGUAUCUGAUUUUUGGGGGUGGAAAAAAAGAGGAUUGAUUCAAAUAAAAAUGUAUUUGUAUGAGAAAAAUUAUUUCCUUCCAUGAGUAAACACAUAGUUUGAGGCAAAUUUAUGGCUUUGGCCUGGUCAUUAAUAUCUGGUUGUCAAAAAGUAUUGGUUUGAACAAAAAUAUGUUGUAAUAAAAAUGCAUUGUUUUGAAGAAAUUUAUUGUCCCCAUGAAAACCUAUUCAAUUCAGAAAGAUAUGUUGAUUUCAAUGAAAAUCUAUUUGUUUUAAGAGACAGAGAGAGGGAAGUUGCACUCAACUGAGAACCCGGGGCUUCUCUCAGUACAGAUCUCCCUGCAGUCCCUUGGCUAUUAGGAUGGGGAAAGUUGGAAAAUCAACAACUGGGCAGCCAAGGAAAGUAAGUAUGUAAGUCUUUCCUGUGCUCAGUGACCAUCCUCCCAGCUGAAGAAAAGUGCCCCAGCUCCCCUAGGGCAAGGAGUGGCAGGUGGCUGUCUCCAUUCCUUAUGGAUUGGAUGGCUUCUUCCACAUACAGCUCUCCUCACCCUGCAAAUCUAAUGUUUAGGUGACUUUUAAAGGUCCUUUCCAACCCAAAGGGAUUUAUCCAGCCCGUGAGGAUCCCAGGGAGUGGUUGCUCAUGAGAACCUGCCUAGAGCUGGAAAGGUGCACGUCUUGCAGGUUACCUGGAGACCUUCAUCUUCUGCUUCCUGUCUCGAGCCAAACAUGAGCAGCAAAAAUGUGUUGGUGAAAGCAGAGGAAGGAAGGGAAGAGGUCUGCACGGCAUUCAUUAAUCAUUUCAUCAGGAAGGAGUUCAAAGCAGAGGCCGGCCUUAACAAGGGCUGCAGGCAGGGAUGGGGCCAUGUUUAUUCACAUGUUCCUCCUUAUGUCCCUGACCUCCCACCUGGUCAGCUGGUGUGGGCCUCCAAAGCUGAGAUGCCGUUCUAGGAUCCAGGCCAUCCUACCCCCAAAUGGGGCUGGCCUGGUCCUGUCUAGGUCAAGGUGAUGUCACAUGGAAGUCUGUCACAGGUCCACUGUGGGUAUCUGCUCAUCAGUUGGAAAAUGACUCUUCAAGAGGUCCUUGUUUCCCCUUUGAGUCAAGAGGGUUAAUGAAGAGUGGCGAGACCAUCCUUUGAGAAGCUGCCUGGUGGUAAACUUCCUUCUGCAUGCUGGGACUCCUCAGAAGAAUAACUCCUCAGGCCAGGUGGGCAGUGGCCAGGACCUGAGAGACACUUGUGAGACACGAUGGUCUCUGGGAACUCUUGGGGUAAGCCCUAAGAAGCCAUGUUCUAUCUCCAAGGCAAGGCAGUAGGGAUACACUUGAACAUGAGGGGCUUCAAUUCAGAGGGCUCCUUGUCCUUCCCAAAGAUGGUUCCUCCCACCAUAAAAUAGGUGCCUAACCCCACACCCCGUGCUCUGAUGGCCAGAGGACCCUGCAGGUAACAGCUGGUCAAUGGUUCAAGUCCAGAGGCCUAAAUCACAUCUCUGCAGAGCUGCUCCUGUAGCAGGCCAGCCCUGCCCUCGGCACGUGGUGGUGUUGGGAGCACAAAGAUGAAAGUCACAGGAGUUCAGGUUCUGUAAUUUAUGCAGGCUGGAAUUCAGGAACGAAUAUUUGAAUUAAGAGGAAUAAUAAAAUAUGAGGAGUGAGUGGCUCUGACUGAGGCUGGUACCUUGCACUGGGCUCAUGGCACAUAAGUCAGUCUUGGCUGAUGUUUGCAUGCAGAGCUUAGCGUGGGCAAUUUAUGCAGACUUUUAGUGGUAUUUUGUUUCUUAAAAGUGUGGAGAUUCCCGUAAAUCUUGGCUUGAACACAUCUGUGUGUGGCCAAAACUGGUCUCUGCUUUCUUUAUAAUCAGUAUUUUCUGGAUCCAAGACCAGAAGGCGAUACACACAUACAUAUGGCAAAAGUUCUUUGUAUUAAGAAUUUACAGCUCAACCUUCUUGUUCC